CCUCCCUUUGGGAUUUGCUAACAAGCCCAGGAUAAGGUAAGCAAAUUGCCUGGCAGUGUCAGUCAUGGACCAAGAUGUUUCCUGCUAAUGUCUGUAAGAACUGAGUGAAAUGAAGUAUGCAGGAUGGAUAUUGUGUGAUAUAUUCCACUGUUGAUUUCCAGUGCAAGCAGUUACAUUUGCUGAUAACAAAAUGCAUUUAUCUUCAGUGGCAUUUUAGAUUGCUCCACAACCUGCUGCGUAUUCUAAUGAAACCUGUAUCGCUACCAAUUAGACACCUGCAGAAGAAGUGGCUAUGCAAAUACCUUGCCCCCCAAAUGCUAUUUUCCUUCUCUCAUUAAGCUUUCAAACUAAACUGUAUCACAGUUAAUGGCUGAAAACU